rnacentral:rRNA from 1 species
CGGUGAAGGGGAGCUUGCUCCUUGGAUCAGUGGCGAACGGGUGAGUAACACGUGAGCAAUCUGCCCUUGACUCUGGGAUAACUGCGGGAAACUGUAGCUAAUACCGGAUAUUACCUUGGAAGGCAUCUUCUGGGGUGGAAAGAAUUUUGGUCAAGGAUGAGCUCGCGGCCUAUCAGCUAGUUGGUGAGGUAAUGGCUCACCAAGGCGACGACGGGUAGCCGGCCUGAGAGGGUGACCGGCCACACUGGGACUGAGACACGGCCCAGACUCCUACGGGAGGCAGCAGUGGGGAAUAUUGCACAAUGGGCGCAAGCCUGAUGCAGCAACGCCGCGUGAGGGACGACGGCCUUCGGGUUGUAAACCUCUUUUAGUAGGGAAGAAGCGACUGGGUUUUCCUGGGAGUGACGGUACCUGCAGAAAAAGCACCGGCUAACUACGUGCCAGCAGCCGCGGUAAUACGUAGGGUGCAAGCGUUGUCCGGAAUUAUUGGGCGUAAAGAGCUCGUAGGCGGUUUGUCGCGUCUGCUGUGAAAACCCGAGGCUCAACCUCGGGCCUGCAGUGGGUACGGGCAGACUAGAGUGCGGUAGGGGAGAUUGGAAUUCCUGGUGUAGCGGUGGAAUGCGCAGAUAUCAGGAGGAACACCAAUGGCGAAGGCAGAUCUCUGGGCCGUAACUGACGCUGAGGAGCGAAAGCAUGGGGAGCGAACAGGAUUAGAUACCCUGGUAGUCCAUGCCGUAAACGUUGGGAACUAGAUGUGGGGACCAUUCCACGGUCUCCGUGUCGCAGCUAACGCAUUAAGUUCCCCGCCUGGGGAGUACGGCCGCAAGGCUAAAACUCAAAGGAAUUGACGGGGGCCCGCACAAGCGGCGGAGCAUGCGGAUUAAUUCGAUGCAACGCGAAGAACCUUACCAAGGCUUGACAUAUACCGGUAACGCCUGGAAACAGGUGCCCCGCAAGGUCGGUAUACAGGUGGUGCAUGGUUGUCGUCAGCUCGUGUCGUGAGAUGUUGGGUUAAGUCCCGCAACGAGCGCAACCCUCGUCCUAUGUUGCCAGCACGUAAUGGUGGGAACUCAUGGGAUACUGCCGGGGUCAACUCGGAGGAAGGUGGGGAUGACGUCAAAUCAUCAUGCCCCUUAUGUCUUGGGCUUCACGCAUGCUACAAUGGCCGGUACAAAGGGCUGCGAUACCGCAAGGUGGAGCGAAUCCCAAAAAGCCGGUCUCAGUUCGGAUUGAGGUCUGCAACUCGACCUCAUGAAGUCGGAGUCGCUAGUAAUCGCAGAUCAGCAACGCUGCGGUGAAUACGUUCCCGGGCCUUGUACACACCGCCCGUCAAGUCAUGAAAGUCGGUAACACCCGAAGCCAGUGGCCGAACCCGUA